rnacentral:misc_RNA from 1 species
GAUGAAGAACGUAGUGAAAUGCGAUAAGUAAUGUGAAUUGCAGAAUUCAGUGAAUCAUCGAAUCUUUGAACGCACAUUGCGCCCCUUGGUAUUCCGAGGGGCAUGCCUGUUCGAGCGUCAUUAUCACCCCUCAAGCUCAGCUUGGUGUUGGGGCCGGCCCGUCACAGGGCCGCCCCUAAAAGCAGUGGCGGUGCCAUCUGGCUCUACGCGUAGUAAUACUCCUCGCGACAGAGUCCCGGUGGUGUCCUGCCAGAACCCCCCAUCUUUUUAAUGAUUGACCUCGGAUCAGGUAGGGAUACCCGCUGAACUUAAGCAUAUCAAUAAGCGGAGGA